UACGAAGGGGCUAGCGUUGCUCGGAAUCACUGGCGUAAAGGGUGCGUAGGCGGGUCUUUAAGUCAGGGUGAAUCCUGGAGCUCAACUCCAGAACUGCCUUUGAUACUGAAGAUCUUGAGUUCGGGAGAGGUGAGUGGAACUGCGAGUGUAGAGGUGAAAUUCGUAGAUAUUCGCAAGAACACCAGUGGCGAAGGCGGCUCACUGGCCCGAUACUGACGCUGAGGCACGAAAGCGUGGGAGCAAACAGGG
rnacentral:rRNA from 1 species